GACGAGCCACACAAACGUUAUUCGGAAUUACUGGGCUUAAAGGGUGCGUAGGCUGCGCGGAAAGUUGGGUGUGAAAUCCCUCGGCUCAACCGAGGAACUGCGCCCAAAACUACCGUGCUCGAGGAAGAUAGAGGUAAGCGGAACUUACGGUGGAGCGGUGAAAUGCGUUGAUAUCGUAAGGAACACCUGUGGCGAAAGCGGCUUACUGGGUCUUUUCUGACGCUGAUGCACGAAAGCUAGGGGAGCAAACAGG
rnacentral:rRNA from 1 species